rnacentral:rRNA from 1 species
ACGGAGGGUGCAAGCAUUAAUCGGAUUUAUUGGGCGUAAAGGGCGCGUAGGCGGCAAGAAAAGUCAGAUGUGAAAUCCCCGGGCUCAACCCGGGAACUGCGUCUGAGACUGGAAGGCUCGAAUCCGGGAGAGGGAUGUGGAAUUCCAGGUGUAGCGGUGAAAUGCGUAGAUAUCUGGAGGAACACCGGUGGCGAAGGCGGCAUCCUGGACCGGUAUUGACGCUGAGGCGCGAAAGCCAGGGGAGCAAACGGGA